GACGAACCACCCAAACGUUAUUCGGAAUCACUGGGCUUAAAGGGUGCGUAGGCGGCGUCGUAAGUCGGGUGUGAAAUCCCUCAGCUCAACUGAGGAAUUGCGCCCGAUACUGCGGCGCUUGAGGGAGACAGAGGUAAGCGGAACUGAUGGUGGAGCGGUGAAAUGCAUUGAUAUCAUCAGGAACACCGGUGGCGAAAGCGGCUUACUGGGUCUCUUCUGACGCUCAGGCACGAAAGCUAGGGGAGCGAACGGGAUUAGAUACCCCGGUAGUCCUAGCUGUAAACGAUGAGCACUUGAUCGGAGAAUCCCUCAUAGUUUUCUGGUCGUAGCGAAAGUGUUAAGUGCUCCGCCUGGGGAGUAUGGUCGCAAGGCUGAA
rnacentral:rRNA from 1 species